rnacentral:rRNA from 1 species
GAUGAACGCUGGCGGCGUGCCUAAUACAUGCAAGUCGAGCGAACAGACGAGGAGUUUGCUCCUUUGACGUUUUCGGCAGACGUGUGUGUAACACGUGGAUAACCUCUCUAUAAGACUGGGAUCACUUCGGGACACUGGCUCUAAUCCCGUAUAAUUUAUUGAUCCGUAUGGUUUACUAGUGAAAGACGGUUUUGCUGUUACUUAUUGAUGGAUCCUUGCCGUAUUAGCUAGUUGGUAAGGUAACGGCUUACAAAGGCAACGAUGCGUAGCCGACCUGAGAGGGUGAUCGGCCAACCGGGAACUGAGACACGGUCAAAACUCCUACGGGAGGAAGAAGUAGGAAAUCUUCCGAAAUGGGCGAAAGCCGAACGAGGAAACGCCGCGGAAGGGAGGAAGGUCUUCGAAUCGAAAGACUCUGUGAUAGGGGAAGAACAAAUGUGGAAGUAACAAUGCACGUCGUGACGGUACCUAAUCAGAAAGCCACGGCUAACUACGUG